rnacentral:rRNA from 1 species
UGACGUACUUGUACUGAUUGAGAUUUUAACACGAAGUGAGUGGCGAACGGGUGAGUAACACGUGGGUAACCUGCCCAGAAGUAGGGGAUAACACCUGGAAACAGAUGCUAAUACCGUAUAACAGAGAAAACCGCAUGGUUUUCUUUUAAAAGAUGGCUCUGCUAUCACUUCUGGAUGGACCCGCGGCGUAUUAGCUAGUUGGUGAGGUAAAGGCUCACCAAGGCAGUGAUACGUAGCCGACCUGAGAGGGUAAUCGGCCACAUUGGGACUGAGACACGGCCCAGACUCCUACGGGAGGCAGCAGUAGGGAAUCUUCCACAAUGGACGCAAGUCUGAUGGAGCAACGCCGCGUGAGUGAAGAAGGGUUUCGGCUCGUAAAGCUCUGUUGUUAAAGAAGAACGUGGGUAAGAGUAACUGUUUACCCAGUGACGGUAUUUAACCAGAAAGCCACGGCUAACUACGUGCCAGCAGCCGCGGUAAUACGUAGGUGGCAAGCGUUAUCCGGAU